UCUCCGUUGGUGAACCAGAGGAGGGAUCAUUACCGAGUGCAAACUCAUAACCCUUUGUGAACCUAUAUCUGUUGCUUCGGCGGCUCGCUCUCGGGCGAGCCCGCCGGUAAUAUCAGUAUCUCUGUUUGAACCCGACGAUACUUCUGAGUGUUCUUAGCGAACAGUUAAAACUUUUAACAACGGAUCUCUUGGCUCUA
rnacentral:misc_RNA from 1 species